rnacentral:lncRNA from 1 species
AAAUUAUGAAGUCAAAUUUACUCAGGGGUCAGCACACCCCAAAUGCACAGGUGUCUCAGGCCCACAGAGGACAUGGGGCAGCAAGUAGGACUCAGGGAAUAUGUCCAUAACCUGGAUACAGAACUAACGAUCUCGGGAAGAGCUGUGAGCAAAGAAACAUUAUCGAAGUUCAACAUGGUGUCCAAAACAAAAUCCCACAAUGUCUCCUACCUGAAUGAGAGCUUCUACUGAACUCCCCUCAAGAGCAUCUUGAAUCCCAAAAAGCGCACUGGCCAGGGCUUCAUAGACACACAUCUUCUCUGGCUACAUGGCUGACGGGUAGGUCUGCGGCUCUGCUCUUCACUGCAUCUACUUGAUUUGGACACCACAACUCCAUCCUGUUUGCAUGAUCCAGUAUUGCACGAAUCCUGAUUUGGAAUUCUUCCCUUUUCUGACUUAGUGAAGAGGAGCCCAGUUUAGUGAUUAUUGAAAAAAA